AUUGAACGCUGGCGGCGUGCUUAACACAUGCAAGUCGUGCGGUAACAGGCGUAGCAAUACGUGCUGACGAGCGGCGAACGGGUGCGUAAUACAUGGGAAUCUGCCCUUUGGUGGGAAUAACCCGGCGAAAGCCGGGCUAAUGCCGCAUAAGAUCUUCGGAUGAAAGCGGGGAGUACGUAAGACCUCGCGCCGAGUGGAGUGAGCCCACUGU
rnacentral:rRNA from 1 species